AUUGAACGCUGGCGGCAGGCUUAACACAUGCAAGUCGAGCGGGGGAAGGUAGCUUGCUACCGGACCUAGCGGCGGACGGGUGAGUAAUGCUUAGGAAUCUGCCUAUUAGUGGGGGACAACAUCUCGAAAGGGAUGCUAAUACCGCAUACGUCCUACGGGAGAAAGCAGGGGAUCUUCGGACCUUGCGCUAAUAGAUGAGCCUAAGUCGGAUUAGUUAGUCGGUGGGGUAAAGGCCUACCAAGGCGACGAUCUGUAGCGGGUCUGAGAGGAUGAGCCGCCACACUGGGACUGAGACACGGCCCAGACUCCUACGGGAGGCAGCAGUGGGGAAUAUUGGACAAUGGGGGGAACCCUGAUCCAGCCAUGCCGCGUGUGUGAAGAAGGCCUUAUGGUUGUAAAGCACUUUAAGCGAGGAGGAGGCUACUUUAGUUAAUACCUAGAGAUAGUGGACGUUACUCGCAGAAUAAGCACCGGCUAACUCUGUGCCAGCCGCCGCAGUAA
rnacentral:rRNA from 1 species